rnacentral:rRNA from 1 species
UACGGAGGGUGCGAGCGUUGUCCGGAAUCACUGGGCGUAAAGGGCGCGUAGGCGGCCUGCUAAGUCGAACGUGAAAUCCCCGGGCUCAACCCGGGAACUGCGUCCGAUACUGGAAGGCUUGAAUCCGGGAGAGGGAUGUGGAAUUCCAGGUGUAGCGGUGAAAUGCGUAGAUAUCUGGAGGAACACCGGUGGCGAAGGCGACAUCCUGGACCGGUAUUGACGCUGAGGCGCGAAAGCCAGGGGAGCAAACGGG